rnacentral:lncRNA from 1 species
CUCCCAAGCUCAAAGCUCUCAUAAAGCCAUGGCAUCUACAUGCUGUGAAAAGCCUCGUGCUGUCCUUUUGAGCAGCCAGUGUUGCUGCAAACUGCCGGGGACCCACUUAGUUUCAAACAUGAUUUUUUCCCUGAAAUAACGGCCUCCCAUCUAAUGGCACGCUGAGGUCACGGGGCACGGUGGAACCAGUCUGUGAUCUGGGAGCCUGCCCCCAGAGACACACCAGUGGAACUCGUGAACCGUCUAGAUUAAAAGAUUAAAACGUCCUUACUGCAGGUCUUUAUCAUGAAGCCCAUCUAAUCAGUGGCACGUUUACUCAGAAUAAAGAAUGGCCCCUCUAAGGGAGGGGGGAAGGCAGCAAAGGGUCAGCAAGGAGCCCUGUGUGGGGGUCCUGCCGUCUGGGUUCCAGUCAUUAAGAAAGCAUAUAUUCUUUGAGCCUCCACUCCUGAAUCUGUAAAACGAGAGCUCUGGACUCCAGGGUGGCUCUUGAGAUUGUGUUUCUCCCUAUAAUUUCUAUAAUUUUUUGCAAAUCACAACUACCUUCUCACUUUAUUAUGCAUAAUGAUUUAAAUGCCCUGUUUCCAUGAAUGUGUAUUCUUUUAUUGUGCUAAAAUAGGCAUAGCAUAAAAUUUACUAUUUUAACCAUUUUUUAAGUGUACUCUUCAGUGGUAUUAAGUACACUCACUGUGCUGUAGCUAUCACCACCAUCCAUCUCCAGAGCUUUUUCAUCUUCCCAGACAGAAACUCUGUCCCCAUUAAACAAUAACUCCUCAUUCCCCCCCCUUGCCUCCAGCCACUAGUAACCACUGCUCUAAUUUCUUUCUCUAUGAAUCUAACCCUUCCAGUUAUCUCAUGUAAGUGGAAUCCAUACAAUUUUUUUUAUAUUUACAAACAUCCUCAGCAUGACAAGGAUUGAACAAGAUUAUAGUUUUAUUUUGUUUGUAAUAUGCUGUCCCUUUUCUGUCCUGUCCUGAUACAUGUAAAUGGCACUAAAACAGAGUGGCCCUCUCCAGGGCCGCUGGCAUGAUCAAUGCUUUCACAGAUUUAAAAAAUGGAAGCUGAGCCCCAAAAUCUAAUUACAUAGAAAGCAUUUGCGCAGGGAUUGCAUCCAGUGAGAAGCAUCAGGGACAUACUAUUUUGGUACACUCAAAGACACACUUUUAAAAUCAAUAUUUUAAAAGUCAUAUCAGAAGUAAGAUAAACCAGGCUGCUAUCUCAACCCUCCGUGUGUACUCUGUACAUGAUGUCUCUCUCACCGCUGAGAAAAGCUAUGCGUAACAACAGGAAACUGAUCACAGAUCCCAACAUCAGCCCCGGUGACUAAGAGAAUGGAUCUUUCAAGCCAACAACCCAACAGUAAAGUUCUAAAAUUACACCACCCAAGUCCUCUACUGUUUCCUUCUUUUGGACAAAAGCAAAUAUUGACCAGGUGCCAGCCUCGAGCCAUUUGAGGCAAAGGCAGCCGUUGCGAUGGGCAAAGCCACAGCCUGGCCACACCGGGCCAGGCUCCACGUCCAAACCCGCUUGCAUCGUAGAAUUUUGAAAUUAACAAGUCACCAGACCACACACCAAGCAAGGAGUAAUCACUUCACAGAGAGAAAAUAACUAUGUUUAAAAUGAAAGCAAGAUCAACACUGGCCUAAAUGCUGGUAAAAUGACCUUGAGGGAUGUUCCAAAUUGAAACGGAUCAAAUUAGUUUUCAAUCCACUCUAAAAUAUGAAAUGUCAAAAAUAAAAAUAUGCUGAUGAGGCUCAGCGCGCUGAAGUUUUAAAAUGACUAAAACGACAUCUGUCAUGGAAAUCCCUGCAAUUUUACAAGAGAAUAAGAAAGGCUAUUUUAAACGGUGCUUAGUCACGUUGCAUUUUUUUGGUAGUAAUGUCCAAACUUUCCUGUCCCGGUGGCAGAACCCAUGAGCAUGACCUCCACAGGACUCUGGGGGAAUGGGGGUGGGCAAGUUCCAAAAAUACCACUCACAGCUCACAAAUGACGGCUGGUCAACUCACAUUUGACUGUGAAAGCCACAGUGCAGGAGCGAGGACGGACUAAAAUGUCUACAGGAGAAGGUAGGGUGUUGUGUUCUAGAAACCCUGGCAGCUGUGGGUGAGCACAGAAUUUUCUAAUGAGUAAGACUGAAAUCAGUGAAAAUGCCUCAGCAUUAAAGGGAAAAAUAACUUAUCUGCUGUCUAACCACGGAGCUCAGGCAUCUAAGAAAAGCCUAAAUAAUUCACGAAAACUGUGCCCAAAUAGACAAAAGGAGCUCACUGCUUCUUGCAGAAUAUUUAAACCUGACUCAACUUUGGGGUUUUAAUCCAAAUAUCUUAAGUUCACAUUUCAUUGCUGGAACAUUCCAUGUUGUAUCAGGAGCUGACUUAGGUGGGUGAAGUUCUUAACCCUGAACAGAGAAUAAAAUGUUAAAAAUAGUAAUGAGAGUGCCGAUACCUCCAUAGACAACCCUAAAAUGUGUAAUGUGUUCAUGAAACACACUGCUCACCGUCUAAAGGAAAGGUGGUUAAUCCUGGGCAAUUCAGGUUUCUUUGCAGCUACGCCAUGGAAGGUCCCUUAAAUGCAAGACUCAGCAUGGAAACCUCUUUCACUCUGGAAUCCUUCUCCAGAACUUGGGUGAAGGUUCACACACUUACAUCUACCCCCAUGCUUCCCCAAAAGGGCUAAACCCAGAAAAGCCUUUCCCGGAUGUCUAAUUGGUGACAGCCUAUUAUGCCCAAGGGGUUUACUUUUCUCCAGGUGCAGAAUAACAGAGGAGAGAUUUGUUUACUCUCUCCCUUUUUUUUUUUUUUUUUUUUUUUGACAUUAACAACUUUGUUUAAUGGCCUGGGAGCUUGAGCCGGUCAGAUCCCUAGAGCAGGGUCCACACACUCAGCCCUGGACUUUCUCCCACCUAUUCCAACCCAGCCUCACACUCCCAUAACUGCAUUCCUAGCCUUUUCUUCCCGUUUUUAACACUGUGCUUCACCUAGUAAUCAACAUAAAAACAAAGCAGAUAGAAGGACAGGCCUAGGUCAGGCAACCAUCUGGGGUAAUGCAGGUGUCACAGCCACAGGCCAGGCUUGACUGGCACAGGUCUGGGGAGCCUGGGGGCAGCCUGGGUGGGUGUGAAUUAACAGCCUGGAGGUGGUGGGAGGGGGCAUUCUGUGUGCCUCUGGGGAGGGGCGGAGGUGAGGUGUUCUCUUUGUCAGGGACCCUUGGAUCUGCUGGGGACAGAGCCUGCCCAACUCCCUCCUAAGCAACUUCUGUUUCCUCUGCUCUCCCUUCCUGCAACCUGCACUCCUGCUUCCUGCCUGGCACUACCAACUGUGGGAAACCCAAGUAGGUGGCACCAUAGUGGGGGGCAAAAGGCAAAGCCUUGGUUGGGUAGGGGGCAUAACUCCAGGCCUAGUUCUGCAAGCCCUGACACUGAGGCAGGAUGCUUACAGAGGAGACAAAAAAGCAAUGCAGUGCCUCGAAUAACAACUGGGGUGCCCCCACACUGCCACUGACAACUGCCCCUCAAUAACUAGUACACCCUAGUCUUUCUAGCUUCUGGGCACUCCUAGAAACCAGAGCUUCCAAACCCUUCAGUUCACACAGGCCAGGACUUGCUGAGGGCAGGGGGCGGGGGAGGAGGUGAGGGUUGCUUUCAGGAGUAUCUGUUCUUGCUCCCAUAAUCUUGGAGUGGAUCACAAAACUGAGUAAGUGUUGCUAUGGUUAUUAAAGUCAUUCCUUUUAAAAAAGAGCAAAACAUGGCAGAUUUUCUUAACAACUUGUUCAAAUGGCAACAGUCCCGGGUUGUAGCUAAUUAAGUGUGCUAAAGAUAAACACAAGAUCGCACAUUCCUAUUAAGAUUGUUUGCUCCUGGUUCUUUUACACACACACACACACCACUUUGAA